ACCACACUGGCUUCCUAGAGUACAUCUGCUUUGGGGCAGCUAUAUGAAUUAAGUAGGUAAAUAAAUAUGGGGAAAGCAAAAUGUCACUUGGAGAAGGAUCUGAAAUAUUUUCCUUGAAGCUUGAGUUGGUUUUCUUCUGGCUUGUUUUAUUUGAUGUCUUAAUGUGUUGUAGACUGCUUUGAGAUUUUUUCUUUAAAAUAUAAUGCAGUAUGGAAAUGAAUACAACAACAACUCCCCCUGAGGGGGAAAAAUGGCGCCCGUAACCUAAGUUUAAGGUGCCAUUUGGUGAUUAGCUUACCGUAUAGAUCUGAGUUUCUAACACUGCUCAGUAUUGUCUACACUGACUGGCAGUAGCUCUCCAGGAGCCCUACCUGGAGAUACUGGAGAUUGCACCUGGGAGCUUUUGCUUGCAAGGCAGAUGCUAUGCCACUGAACUGUGGCCCUUAUCUCUGGGCGACAUUCACACCAUACAAUUAGUCACUAUACAAAAGCUUCCCCCAAAGAGUUCCGGGAGCCGUAGUAUGUUAAGGGUGCUGAGGGUUGUUAAGAGACCCACGUUCUCUGCUGCCCUGAGCUACAAUUCUUGUACAGUAUACCUCGGGUUGCAUAUGCUUCAAGUUACAUAUGCUUCAGGUUACAGACUCCACUAACCCAGAAAUAGUGCUUCAGGUUAAGAACUUUGCUUCAGGGUAAGAACAGAAAUUGGGCUCUGGCGGCACGGCGGCAGCAGGAGGCCCCAUUAGCUAAAGUGGUGCUUCAGGUUAAGAACAGUUUCAGGUUAAGAAUGGACCUCCAGAACGAAUUAAGUACUUAACCCAAGGUACCACUGUAGUUCCCUGGCAAGAGAUUGAUUGUUAAACCACUUUGGGAAUUGUAGCCCUGUGAGGGGAAUCAGGCGGUGUCUUAACAUCUCUCAGCACUCUUAAUGCACAAAAGUUCCCAGAAUUCUUUGGGGGAAACCAUGGCUAUUUUCUAAAGGGCUUUAAAUGUAGGUGUGAUUGUGGCCAGGGUGGUAGAAGAGACUAGUUUCUCUUGCGAGUGCUCCUGCUUAGUGAUGGUGAGCUGUUUGAGCUCUCUCUACUGGUUGCUGGGCCACUCACAAGCACCUUGAUUGUGUGAACUGCUUGUUGAAGGCUAGAUGGCAUUCAUAAUUUCCCAUUUGAAUGUGUUCUUGAGCGUACCAAGUCAUAAGAGGUUCUGGCAGGGCAAUCAUUAUCUGGAUUUGUUGUCUUUUAGAGGUGAGAUCGCUGGAGACUUGCAUGUUUGGUGGUUACUUAUUUUAGAUAAAUACACAAGUUUAUUUAUUUCGAUUUGUAUGCCACUUUCCCAUUAUAAAUGUGCCCGAACAGAAAUGCGAAUUGGUACAUCAUUACAGUCUUCUGUUGCACCACGGUUACCCUAACACUGAGCCAUGAUUCUCCACAUAAAUUUCCCAAACUGUUAUUGCUUUGGGUGCUCCUGCAACAGUCCAUUCUCUGUUUAUGAUAUUUUGGGUCCUGGCAAGUUUGGCACCUACAGUGCACACCUAGAAUGAGGCUUGUUCCCCCCCCCCCCCACUUCCCUUACAAAGGAGUGAUUUUUUAAAAUAAAGUGCCGCAUAUUGCUGAGGUCUCUGUUUGUACCAUGACCCCACUCUACCACUCCAGCAACAAUGGAAUUCCAAUAAGGAGUGGAAUAUUUUUAACUUUGUAUGCAACAGUGGAAAGUCGAUCUAGUUGAUUGGAAGUUCCUGCUUAGGAAACUCUUGUAACAUACACAAAUGGCUCCUUGAGGAUUGGGGUGUGUGUGUGUGUGUGUGUGUGUGUGUCCUUUUACUAUGUUUUUAUAUACAGUGGUACCUCGGGUUACAUACGCUUCAGGUUUCAGACUCCGCUAAUCCAGAAACAGUGCUUCAGGUUAAGAACUUUGCUUCAGGAUGAGAACAGAAAUCGUGCUUCGGCGACACAGCAGCAGCAGGAGGUCCCAUUAGCUAAAGUGGUGCUUCAGGUUAAGAACAGUUUCAGGUUAAGUACGGACCUCGGGAAUGAAUUAAGUACUUAACCUGAGGUACCACUGUAUGCUGGAAGCCUCCCAGGUGGCUGGGGCAACCCAGUCAGAUGGGUGGGGUAUAAAUAAAAUUUUGCUGUUGUUGUUGUUAGGCCAUACAGAUAUUUUGCCUGAGAGAAAUCCUCCUUGUGGUGCAAGGGUUAAGUUUGAGGCUCCACCCCGCGGCUUGCUUAGGUUUGCAAGGGGGGAAAUGCAACAUGCUUUGAAUUUUUGGAAUUCCUAACCCUAAUAGUUCACUGGAUGAAGGAAUGGUUUAUUCAUAAGAGGUGGGGGGGCUCCCUCCCUUUUUGCAUUCAUCAGACCUCUCUCCACCCCCUUACUUCCUGAUGAUCUGCUCCCAAGAUUUAUUGGGGAGGGUCUAAGACUGAUUGUUUGUUUCUCUCUUUCAUAUUGAAAGGCAGCCUUUGAAGCGGCAAAAGCUGUGCUUCCUGUUGCUGUGGCUUGAGGUUACAAAGGGAACAGAUCAUGGAAGUCUAGUCACUUGCUUGGGCCUUUUUCAGAGGAGAUUUUAAAGAGAAUCCUUAAAACAUACACACAAAGAAACAAACAGGACGGCAGGAAACUUCCUUGCACCAAGGCCAAAUGCGCACCAUACAUUUAAAGCACUAUAAUACCACAUUAAACAGUCAAUUUCUGCCAAAGAAUCCUGAGAAGUAUAGUAUGUUAAGUUGCUGAGAGUUGUUUGGUGGCCCCCUGUUUCUCUUGCAGAGCUUCAGUUCCCAGAGUUCCCUGGGAAGAGGGGCAACACCCUGGGAAUUUUAGCUUGUCCGUGCUCCUACCAACAGUGUGUAUGUAGUUUAGGCUAUCAGUGGCUACUAGUAGUGUUUCUGAAUGCUGGUUUCUGGAAACCCGAGGUGGAGAGAGUGUUCUUGUGACCCGAGUCCACUUGCAAGCUUCCCACAGCUGCCUGGUUUGCAGCUGUGAGAACAGGAUACUGGAAUAAGUGGGUUAUUGGCCGGAUUCAGCAGGGCUCUCGCAUGCUCAGUUUCAGGGGAGAAAAGGCUGGUUAAGAGAUACCAGUUUGGUCGCUCUUUUCCCCACUCUGCCGCAGUCUUUUCCUAGAUGUUGUUGGACUACAAUUCCCAUCAUCCAUAGCCAGCAGUGCCAGUGGGUCCAUUUUCUGGGCGCCAGUGGGAGUCGGGGGGGGGAUAUGCUUAAAUACGGAGAAACUUCACAGGGACAUGUUUGAAUUGGGAACAUAGGUAGUUGUAUUAACGGGGAAGUUUAGAGUGUACUUGCAAGGUCAUGAUAGGGCAUAGCAGAGACACCUGUUUCAGAGUGUUUGCCAUCAUAUUUAUGCUUGAAAGUUUAAGCUACUGGUUAUCGAGGUUGAACUGCCCUUGCAUUUGUCCCCCACAUAUUCAGGAUAUCUGUACCUGCUUCUUUGUCCUGUGCAGCUUCUUUGUCAGAACCUUGACAUGUUUAAUAGCCCUUUUUGGACAUCUGCUGAGUCGAUCUGGGCAAGGAGAAUGUGUUGAUCAGAGCU